rnacentral:rRNA from 1 species
UACGUAGGGUGCGAGCGUUAAUCGGGAUUACUGGGCGUAAAGCGUGCGCAGGCGGUUUUGUAAGCCAGAUGUGAAAGCCCCGGGCUCAACCUGGGAAUGGCAUUUGGGACUGCAAGGCUUGAGUGCGGCAGAGGAGACUGGAAUUCCUGGUGUAGCAGUGAAAUGCGUAGAUAUCAGGAGGAAUACCGAUGGCGAAGGCAGGUCUCUGGGCUGACACUGACGCUCAUGCACGAAAGCGUGGGGAGCAAACAGG